AUUGAACGCUGGCGGCAGGCCUAACACAUGCAAGUCGAACGAGUGGCGGACGGGUGAGUAAUGUCUGGGAAACUGCCCGAUGGAAGGGGAUAACUACUGGAAACGGUAGCUAAUACCGCAUACCAUCGGAUGUGCCCAGAUGGGAUUAGCUAGUAGGUGGGGUAACGGCUCACCUAGGCGACGAUCCCUAGCUGGUCUGAGAGGAUGACAAGCCACACUCGAACUUAGACACUGUCCAGACUCCUACGGGAUGCAGCAGUUGGGAAUAUUGCACAAUGGGCGCAAGCCUUAUGCAGCCAUGCCGCGUGUAUGAAGAAGGCCUUCUGUUUUUAAAGUACUUUCAGCGGGGAGGCGUUACCCGCAGAAGAAGCACCGGCUAACUCCGUGCCAGCAGCCGCGGUAAUAC
rnacentral:rRNA from 1 species